GUCGAACGAGAGAGAGGAAGCUUGCUUCCUCAAUCGAGUGGCGAACGGGUCAGUAACGCGUGAGGAACCUGCCUCAAAGAGGGGGACAACAGUUGGAAACGACUGCUAAUACCGCAUAAGCCCACAGCUCGGCAUCGAGCAGAGGGAAAAGGAGCAAUCCGCUUUGAGAUGGCCUCGCGUCCGAUUAGCUAGUUGGUGAGGUAACGGCCCACCAAGGCGACGAUCGGUAGCCGGACUGAGAGGUUGAACGGCCACAUUGGAACUGAGACACGGCCCAGACUCCUACGGGAGGCAGCAGUGGGGAAUAUUGCACAAUGGGGGAAACCCUGAUGCAGCGACGCCGCGUGGAGGAAGAAGGUCUUCGGAUUGUAAACUCCUGUUGUUGAGGAAGAUAAUGACGGUACUCAACAAGGAAGUGACGGCUAACUACGUGCCAGCAGCCGCGGUAAAACGUAGGUCACAAGCGUUGUCCGGAAUUACUGGGUGUAAAGGGAGCGCAGGCGGGAGAACAAGUUGGAAGUGAAAUCCAUGGGCUCAACCCAUGAACUGCUUUCAAAACUGUUUUUCUUGAGUAGU
rnacentral:rRNA from 1 species